UCACUCUGAUUUCCCUUCAAACGAAUCAAUCUUGCGCCUUUUACUUAAGAUUUACAUGGAGUGGGACACUAAAUGGGUCUAUAAUAAAUUUGUCAUAGUAAUCUGUUCUCGUGGAG